AUUGAACGCUGGCGGCAGGCCUAACACAUGCAAGUCGAACGGUAACAGGAAGAAGCUUGCUUCUUUGCUGACGAGUGGCGGACGGGUGAGUAAUGUCUGGGAAACUGCCUGAUGGAGGGGGAUAACUACUGGAAACGGUAGCUAAUACCGCAUAACGUCGCAAGACCAAAGAGGGGGACCUUCGGGCCUCUUGCCAUCGGAUGUGCCCAGAUGGGAUUAGCUAGUAGGUGGGGUAACGGCUCACCUAGGCGACGAUCCCUAGCUGGUCUGAGAGGAUGACCAGCCACACUGGAACUGAGACACGGUCCAGACUCCUACGGGAGGCAGCAGUGGGGAAUAUUGCACAAUGGGCGCAAGCCUGAUGCAGCCAUGCCGCGUGUAUGAAGAAGGCCUUCGGGUUGUAAAGUACUUUCAGCGGGGAAGGGAGUAAAGUUAAUACCUUUGCUCAUUGACGUUACCCGCAGAAGAAGCACCGGCUAACUCCGUG
rnacentral:rRNA from 1 species